rnacentral:lncRNA from 1 species
UAAUCACUAUACAUCCUGUAUUAUUGGAGGAAUGAGAUUUCAUACGAGAAAGCUUGAGAUGUAAUGACGGAUCCAGAAUAGUGGGAUUGCUACAAUAGGAUAUGAAGGAGAAGAAGAGAUCAAAUAUUAUGGUGUACUGAUAGAUAUCAUAGAACUGAAGUAUGGAUUCAGUAAUUCUGUAUUCUUGUUUUAGUGUAAAUGGUAGGAUAUUAACAAUAAAA